CUCCACGCUGCCUGAAGCAAAGCAAGAGGGGGCAGACGGGGGGCAGAAUCAGGAGGGAGACGAGGAAGAGAGACAGAAACACAGACAGAGGAGGUAAAUUUAGCUUUGCCUCAGAGAACCAAGGCUCCUGUGGAUUUUCCAUAAUGAUCCCUCACACGCUGAUUACUACCUUCACUGCACUCUCAAAUGGCUGCCUGCCUGCAGCAAGAGUCCACUUUCAGAGUCAGGAGAAAAGUUGCAUCAGAUCUGAAAAGCGUGUCCUCCAUGUGCACGCCAUGUGCAGACGGCUGUCACUGUCUAAAAGCCAGAACAGUUCAAGUCAGCAAGGUGGCUCCGAUUAACGCAACGCUGGACCGAGUAACGUACAAGCUCAUCGAGACCAACCUGAAUAUCCGGCACCACGCCUGCAGUAAUAACACCAUAUGCUUCAUUAUCAUACACAGGUGUGUCAGAGAGGAUAUUUAACACUGGAAGACACACGGUCCAUUCAGGGAGAGACAGAGCGAGGCCACUAGCGAGCAGGAUGCCAUGCCCUGACGGAGAACAGGCUCUGCACUGUGAGCACAUGGAUCAAGCCGUUCGCCCUCGAGUCCGUGUGUGCAGAGUGUUGAGCUGUCGUGAACAUGAACAGAAGAGCUUGAGUUGGAUUUGCAGAUGAGAGUUGAGUGUUUAUCUGCAG